GAAAUUGAUUUCUUUGGAUGGAAACUUUGACACUUUCUUAUCAACGGGUAAGCCUGAAAAUUUUUCUCUUUACUAUAAUCUUGAGGGUUUUAGCUAAGGAAUUAAUUAUAUUUAUUUAAUUUUCAGUCAGAAACAAAUAUGGAUUAGACGAUGAGUCAAUCAUCAAUUUGGAGGACGAUCAAGGUGCGGAGGUCGACAUAGAUACAUUCCCUAUUUUAUUGGAACUCAGUGGAAUUCCAAACCUUGUUUUUAAAUUGGCUGGUGAAGAAUAUUCUGAAUUUACUGUCAACCUCACUGAUGGCAGCCCGCCAAGGUCGGACUUACAGAUAGUUAAUACGAGAUCAUCCACGUCACUGAUUCCUAUUUCCGGACGUGAAUAUGGAUUUCAAGAUAAUUUUGGCCUGAUGCUGCACAAUUUCCUGCAACAAGAUGACGAGACGAAUCAGGUCGUGUGUCGCAGUGUCAUUCUAAAAAUUUUGUAGAUGAUAAAUCUGCAACCAUUCUUAUAAAGCAGUUUGUA